CUGAUAUCCAGAAGCUCUGUGUCUAAUCUGAGGUGAGUGAUCUCUGUCCUGAUAUCCAGAAGCUCUGUGUCUAAUCUGAGGUGAGUGAUCGCUGUCCUGAUAUCCAGAAGCUCUGUGUCUAAUCUGAGGUGAGUGAUCGCUGUCCUGAUAUCCAGAAGCUCUUUGUCUAAUCUGAGGUGAGUGAUCUCUGUCCUGAUAUCCAGAAGAUAUUUGUCUAAUCUGAAGUGAGUGAUCUCUGUCCUGAUAUCCAGAAGAUAUUUGUCUAAUCUGAGGUGAGUGAUCGCUGUCCUGAUGUCCAGAAGCUCUGUGUCUAAUCUGAGGUGAGUGAUCGCUGUCCUGACAUCCAGAAGCUCUGUGUCUAAUCUGAGGUGAGUGAUCGCUGUCCUGAUGUCCAGAAG
ensembl:lncRNA